rnacentral:rRNA from 1 species
CCUACGGGAGGCAGCAGUGGGGAAUAUUGGACAAUGGGCGAAAGCCUGAUCCAGCAAUGCCGCGUGAGUGAUGAAGGCCUUAGGGUUGUAAAGCUCUUUUACUAGGGAUGAUAAUGACAGUACCUAGAGAAUAAGCCCCGGCUAACUCCGUGCCAGCAGCCGCGGUAAUACGGAGGGGGCUAGCGUUGUUCGGAAUUACUGGGCGUAAAGAGUACGUAGGCGGUUAUUCAAGUCAGAGGUGAAAGCCUGGAGCUCAACUCCAGAACUGCCUUUGAAACUAGAUAGCUAGAAUCAUGGAGAGGUUAGUGGAAUUCCGAGUGUAGAGGUGAAAUUCGUAGAUAUUCGGAAGAACACCAGUGGCGAAGGCGACUAACUGGACAUGUAUUGACGCUGAGGUACGAAAGCGUGGGGAGCAAACAGGAUUAGAUACCCUGGUAGUCCACGCCGUAAACGAUGAUAACUAGCUGUUCGGGCUCUCAGAGCUUGAGUGGCGCAGCUAACGCAUUAAGUUAUCCGCCUGGGGAUACGGUCGCAAGAUUAAAACUCAAAUGAAUUGACGG